rnacentral:rRNA from 1 species
GAUGAACGCUGGCGGCGUGCCUAAUACAUGCAAGUCGAGCGAACGGACGAGAAGCUUGCUUCUCUGAUGUUAGCGGCGGACGGGUGAGUAACACGUGGGUAACCUACCUAUAAGACUGGGAUAACUUCGGGAAACCGGAGCUAAUACCGGAUAAUAUUUUGAACCGCAUGGUUCAAAAGUAAAAGACGGUCUUGCUGUCACUUAUAGAUGGAUCCGCGCUGCAUUAGCUAGUUGGUAAGGUAACGGCUUACCAAUGCAACGAUGCAUAGCCGACCUGAGAGGGUGAUCGGCCACACUGGAACUGAGACACGGUCCAGACUCCUACGGGAGGCAGCAGUAGGGAAUCUUCCGCAAUGGGCGAAAGCCUGACGGAGCAACGCCGCGUGAGUGAUGAAGGUCUUCGGAUCGUAAAACUCUGUUAUUAGGGAAGAACAUAUGUGUAAGUAACUGUGCACAUCUUGACGGUACCUAAUCAGAAAGCCACGGCUAACUACGUG